AUAGUCAGAGGGGAAAAGUCAUAGCUUGCUAUCAAAGAGCUUACCCACUGAGUAUAUUUCCCGUCUUUUUACUUUAUUUUUUGCUUCUUUCCAUGUAUAUUCCAUACAUUAUUAAUAAUUUGGAUGCAAGACAUUAACCCUACAUCUACAGGUACCAAUGGCUUCUUCUGACACCACCGACUCAUUGUGCCAGAAGCCACAGAUAUCCAGCAAUUCCUAACUUGUCUUCAUAGAGCAGAAGAGGUACAGCAAUGUCCAUUUGAAAUAGAAGCAGAAGACAACACUGAUCUAUAAAAGACUGAAAAAAAGGACCCCACGGAUGGCAUUCUUUGCUUUUAAAUAGAAUUAAAUAAAUUUAAAGAUGUUAAUUGUUGUUAGUAAAUUGUCACACUGAUUUCUGUAAAGCAGCAGGGUAGUGAAAUUCACUAAGCAUUUGUGUAAUUACUUUGUGAUAUUGACACAGA